rnacentral:rRNA from 1 species
GACGAACGCUGGCGGCGUGCUUAACACAUGCAAGUCGAACGGAAAGGCCCUGCUUUGGUGGUGUGCUCGAGGGGCGAACGGGUGAGUAACACGUGAGUAACCUGCCCUUGACUUUGGGAUAACUUCAGGAAACUGGGGCUAAUGCCGGAUAGGAGCGCCUGCUGCAUGGUGGGGGUUGGAAAGUUUCGGCGGUGGGGGAUGGACUCGCGGCUUAUCAGCUUGUUGGUGGGGUAGUGGCUUACCAAGGCUGUGACGGGUAGCCGGCCUGAGAGGGUGACCGGCCACCUUGGGACUGAGGUCCGGCCCCGACUCCUACGGGCGGCAGCAGUGGGGAAUAUUGCCCAAUGGGCGGAAGCCUGAUGCAGCAACGCCGCGUGCGGGAUGACGGCCUUCGGGUUGUAAACCGCUUUCGCCUGUGCCGCAGCGUGAGUGACGGUAAUGGGUAAAGCAGCCCCGGCUCACUACGUG